AUUCUAAUGCAACAACGUUUGUAACGUUCAUUUUAAUUGGAGAACGUCACUGUUUUACAUGGCAUCAAUUGACAAUUGAUGCUAUGGGACGUACGCGCAAGCGCAGACGGCAUAUGACAGAUUUUAAUUACAUGUUUUAACGUUGUUUUCUGUCAAUUUCAUUAGAAUGGAGAUAACAAUAUUGUAUUUUAAGCUCCGACGGCAUCAAUUGGGGAUUUGAUGGUCGCAAAUACCCGUUUACUGUCUCCGCUAACGCGUCGCCAGUAAACUUAAUUUGCGACCAUCAAAUCCCCAAUUGAUGCAGUCUGAGCUUGAAAUACAAUACAGUUAUCUCCUAAAUA
rnacentral:lncRNA from 1 species